ensembl:misc_RNA Metazoa_SRP Metazoan signal recognition particle RNA
GCCGGGCAUAGUGGCGAUGCCUGUAGUCCCAGCUAUUCAGAAGGCUGAGGCAGGAGGAUCACUUGAGCCCAGGAGUUCAAGGCUAUAGUGAGCUCUGAUUGUGCCACUGCUUUCCAGCCUGGGCAACAGAGUGAUAUCCUGUCUCUA